CACCGUAGUAGAAGCCGGAAGUCCCUGCUAAGCUAACAUCAACAAAAACAAUAAACCAGCGCCAAAGUGUAAAAAAAAUGAGUGUUACUGAGUUGGGAAAUGACGGAGAGCAGCCGAAGCUUACAAGUAACGAAUCCCGCUGCAUAUUCUUUAACACAGACUCAGAGGACUACCAUUGUGUGGUGAUCUUAGCAGUCAGACGAGCAACGGGAACCUUUUCUUUGAUAGGAUGCUUGUUCAUGCUGUUUGUGAUCUGGCUGCUGCGGAGGUAUCACUCUUUGGCCCAGAAGAUGAUACUCAGUUUGACUGUGGCUGCCCUCUUUGACAGUGUAGCAUAUGUCAUGGGGGAAUCUCAUCCACAGGGAUCUCUGUGUAGCUUUCAAGCCUGGUGGCUGACAUACUUUGACUGGAGUGCCUUGGUUUGGGUUUGCCUGAUCACACUGAACCUGUACCUGAACCUGGUUAGAGAGAUAAGCACCAUUAGAUAUGAGAUGUUGUACCAUCUGAUGGCGUGGGGUGUGCCUUUGGUCAUGGCCUCUUUGCCGCUGCUCAAGGGUUAUUACGGCCCUGCAGGACCCUGGUGCUGGAUCACAGCCGAUCACGUAGCCUGGAGAUUUGGGAUAUGGUACGUGCCUCUUUUCAGCCUCAUUAUCCUGAUGAUGUGCUGCUAUGGCAGGAUCAUCUGUGUGGCCAAUCAGCGGAUACAGUCGUGGUUGGGAACCUUCAACCCCGAACGGGAGAGACGAAAGGUUUCCUUGGCAGAGGAGAUCAAGCCAUUGAAGUGGUAUCCAUCUGUAUAUCUGCUGGUUUCCAUCUUUCCUCUCAUCAACAGACUGCAUAAUGUCCUCUACCCUCAGAACCCAUUCUUCUCCCUCACAUUGUUGCACGUCCUGUCAGCACCACUCCAUGGCUUGGCCAAUGCUUUUGUCUUUGGCUUGGAUAGAGAAUGGUGGAGCCUUGUGAGCCCAACUGGCAUGCAGCUGGCUCUGCAGUCUCGGCUCUGUGACAGGACUCGAAUCGGAGAGUACCACCCUGGAGCGGUACGCUACACGCAGGCUGACCUUGUGGACCACAGCGAUGACGAUGACGAUGACACCAACGUUCUCUUCUACUCACCUGACAUGACCCUGAAAGACCGAGGGCCCUGAGAGAGAACCGUGGAAUAGGAGAGAGGAAGCAGGGAGACAAAGAGACGACGCAAAGGAGCACGAAGAAGGGUCACAGCCAGGGAGAAACACGACGGAUUAGAAACUGAGAGGCAGGAAAAAGAGGUAGGGAGGGAAUGGAGGAGAAGAUUGGGAGGACAUUCAGGCAGAUAGGAGCCGGAGAUGAGCUGUCAGGUUCCAUUAUUAAUCCCCAUCCUUUACUAUUUAAUAUCCUAAAGACGCACACAGCACACAUACUGAGCAGAGCAGCAGCUCACUGCAAUGCUGCCCACUCUAAAGACCCCUCUAAUGUUAGAGUCAUCUGCUGCAGUGCAAAGGUCUAGAAACCUAAUCUUCUUUUCUUUUCUGUUUUUUUCUCACCAUUUUCCUAAUCCUGUGUUGUGUCGUAUUUGGUCUCCAAGACAGGAAAUAGAUCAAGAAAAAACAACAUGUUGUUUUUAGCUUGAGCAACAAUUCUCUGCAGUAGAUGUGUUGAAAAGCAGAUAUUUAAAAGGAACUCUAAGCGAAGAAUGCAAAAAGAUAAAAUUAAAUGAUAGGAAAUCAGGCAUAGGAUGUAUUGAAAGAAAAUCAAUCUGACCACUAAAAGUCACUCCAAAAAAGUGCUGGUUUUUUUUAAAAGCAUUUGUUUUACAGCUAAUUGUGGCCAUCAGAGUUUUUUUUUUUUUUACAAAAGUUUGAAUUUUUUGUUCUUUUUUUAUUACCAUUAGACUUGUUCGUUAUACUAUAUUUAUGAGAUCAAUACUGUGUGUAUAUAUGUGAAAGUUCUAUUUUUGUACGUGCCUGAGACGAGAAAUUUAAAGAAAUCUUCAAAUCCAAGCCUGACAUCGUCACGUGACAGACAAGCACGGCAUCAUUCACAGCACACACACCGUCACAAUCCACGGGAGGAAAAGGGAAAAAAAAGCAGCCAUUAGUCAAACAUGUUCCCACGCACACACUCAGGCAGGUUUCAAAGGUGCUUGUCAAAACAGGUUGGAAAAGAUGACACACACUGCGACACCCACGGCGCAGCAUCAGCUUUGAUGGUUCAUCAUCUCGUGGCCUUUUGUCAGUCGUCGCUGAGCGGACAGCUGAGGUGUGAUUGGCAGGAUAAUGGAGCCACUUUAUAUUCAACCACAGCCAGCUUAGUUUUUCAACAUCCAGGUGGGUACCAUGGUGGUGGUUGAUGGGCGCUGUCCUCCAUGCAGCUGUCAGCCACCGCCCCUCUGACAGGGUGAACUAAUGAACUGACAUUUGACACCCCCCACCCCUAAGGUUUCAGACUUAUCAUUGGGUGUCUGUGGCACCCCAAUACAACUUGGGUUUGCAAUACGACACUAAAAUGCAACGCGCACUCAUUUCCAUAAUAUCUGGCACUGUUGCUGGUUGUACUCGACUGUGCACUCCAUCAAAUAAAUGAGCAGCACAGACAUUUCA
ensembl:lncRNA cyclic AMP receptor-like protein A